GAUGAACGCUGGCGGCGUGCUUAACACAUGCAAGUCGAACGAUGAAGCCCAGCUUGCUGGGUGGAUUAGUGGCGAACGGGUGAGUAACACGUGAGUAACCUGCCCUUAACUCUGGGAUAAGCCUGGUAAACUGGGUCUAAUACCGGAUAGGAGCGUCCACCGCAUGGUGGGUGUUGGAAAGAUUUAUCGGUUUUGGAUGGACUCGCGGCCUAUCAGCUUGUUGGUGAGGUAAUGGCUCACCAAGGCGACGACGGGUAGCCGGCCUGAGAGGGUGACCGGCCACACUGGGACUGAGACACGGCCCAGACGCCUACGGGAGGCAGCAGGGGGGAAUAUUGCACAAUGGGCGCAAGCCUGAUGCAGCGACGCCGCGUGAGGGAUGACGGCCUUCGGGUUGUAAACCUCUUUCAGUAGGGAAGAAGCGAAAGUGACGGUACCUGCAGAAGAAGCACCGGCUAACUACGUG
rnacentral:rRNA from 1 species